AUGGCGCCCACAGUCUCGCUCCUUUGCCUGACAUGCCGGGGACGGAGCUUCAUGGUGCACCGCCACGGGCUGGAGCACCGGCUCCGGCUCCCCGCGGACUUCAACAGUGGCCGGAUGUUUGGAACCUACCAAGGAGGAUGGGUCUUUCUGGCCGUCGGGCAGCAUUUCGGCCACGCCGCCGUCAACAUCUUCUCAGGGACCCGGCUCCUGUUUCCCGACUACGUGGUGGUCGCCGACAAUACCGUGCGUCCCAUGAUUCUGAUCGCCGCGGCGCUCUCCGCCGAGCCGCUUGGUCACCACGGCGCCUGCUUGGCUGCCGCCAUCGGCCACGUGGGCGGCUUCGUCCCCGACGGCAACCGGCCGCCUCAGUUCGCGUUGUGGCCCGUGGAUUCAACGUCGAGGACGCCGGAGCCGGACUGCAGGAGGGGCUUGUCUUGGAGGACGUUGCUUGGUACAAUGGAGUGCUUUACUUGCUGA
rnacentral:rRNA from 1 species